rnacentral:lncRNA from 1 species
GGCCUCGGGUCCCAGGGGCCUCGCCCUCGGGAGGGAAAGGACAAGUACCAACGGGCCUGGCUGGACCCGAGGGUCGGCUGGGGGCCGGGAGCGCGGUCCCCUUGCCUACCCACUUUCCCCAGCCCGGGAUCCGGCCAGCUCAGAGCAGGGAGGCACCCGGGCGAGAGGCGGGGAGCUGCGCCCGGCGCCGCCCAGGACGCCUGGGGCAGCAGGACUGAGAACGGCGCGACGAGAAGCGCCCGGGGCUCCGGGCCGAGGGGGACAGCCGAGCGGGGGCGCGACCCGGCCCCCCGACCCGGGUCCCGGUCCACACGGCGGCCGCCUUCCCCCCCCCGGCCCAGGACCGCCAAGAACGCGCCGGUGAGCCCUCGGGCCAACUCCACAACUUACCGGCCCCGCUGCCCGGGCCCCCGGAGUUCCCGGGGAGGUUCGGAGCCGGCAGAAGAGGCGGGAUUUGCCCGGAAGCCGUCCCCCUCCGCCGAGCCCACCCCGCCGUCCGCGUCCGCUCCCGCCGCCCCGCAGCGCGGGCCCUCCGCCGCCCCGACGCCCCCCGAGGCCCUGCCCGCCAACGCCAAAGCCGCCGCGGGCCGCGCUCCCGGCCGUUUCCGGCGGCGACGGCCGCUCGUCCGAGCCCCCUGGCCGCGGCCGCCACUCACCAGAGGCCGCCGCGGCUCCGAGCGCCGGGGCUCCGGCCGGCUCACUCCGCGAAGGCGCCCCGCUGCCCCGUCCUCCCUCAGCGCCCCGGCGAGCUCUUCCCUCCGAUCGGCAGCGCUGCCGGGCGCAGCGGCCGACGCGAGGCCACGGGCGGGCGCGCGGGCGAGCGCGGGGCCGGGUAGUCCCUCCGCCUCGGCCGCCGCCGCCGCCUCCUCCUCCGCCGCCGCCGCCUCCCGAGUUCGGGGCUCUGCUGCAAUGUCUGCGAGGCUGACUUUGAGCGCCUCGCUCGCCGCCCGCCCGCAGCCGCGCUCCUCCCUCCGCCGCCGAGGCGGCCGCGGCCCAGUCCCUCCCCUCGCCGCUCCACGCCAUUCAGCUCUUCAGCCAAGUUUCUUAACCCUUUUUUCCCCUUCUCUCCCAUUGUCACCGGGGCGGCAGGCACGCGCUCGGGUCCCGGAGGCUCGCGGGAACUGCGGGGCCCCUCGGUUGGCUGGUUUUCCUCCUCGCCCGCCCUCCGGCCGGCCGGUCCGGGGCUGCGGGGGCCCCGAGGCGGUGGGAAGACCACGGCGGCCGGGAGAGGUGGGUGCUCCAGGCGCCCCGAGCCCUUCCCCGCGGCUCCCGGCUCUGUCCAGCAACCCCCACCGCCGCCGGAGGCGCCGGGACAGCUCCUCCUGGGGCUCCCGGGGCGGGGGGGUGGGGACCAAUCUCGUGACCCAGGCCAAAGGCCCGCGAAGGGGGCUCAGCCUGGGGGUCGGGACGCCCCUGGUCCCUUCCUGGGUGCCGACGUCUUAG